AGAGCGCUAGAGCCGGGAGGAACCUUCUGGAUCCCUCUGGGGCUGGGCUGCUUAUCUCAACAGCAGCAGCCCCACAUCUCUGAGGCAGCAAAGCUAGAGCUGUCAUUUCAAGGCACCACACUAAGGACUUUGCACAUGUCACCGCACGCAGUCCUUAAAGCUGCCUGUGAGAAAAGGAUUGUUCUUCCUCUUCACUGUAUGGGAAAAUGGAGACACAGAGAAGUGAGGCCACCUGCCGCGCGUCAUAGGACCACUAAGGUGUGGACCCGGGACGUGAAUCUGGGUCUAUCUGAUUGGAAAGCCUCGAUGAACUCCAGUGAUUUGCAGAAACAGAUGGCCAUUGUGUUCCAACACCCUGUUGGGCUAAAUGCUUCCUUUGAAGAUGGAAGAUUGCACAGAUUGCUUUUCUCAUUCAGAUUUUAUGCCUGAGUAAAAUCCUUGUGCUAUGAUUUAUUAUAGCAACACUGAUUUUCCAAUUUUAAGACAACAAUGCGGCUUGAAAUAAAAGAGAAAGAAAACAUUGAAA